GAACGCGAAGAACCUUACCAAGUCUUGACAUCCUUUGACCACUCUAGAGAUAGAGCUUUCCCUUCGGGGACAAAGUGACAGGUGGUGCAUGGUUGUCGUCAGCUCGUGUCGUGAGAUGUUGGGUUAAGUCCCGCAACGAGCGCAACCCUUAUUACUAGUUGCCAGCAUUGAGUUGGGCACUCUAGUGAGACUGCCGGUGACAAACCGGAGGAAGGUGGGGAUGACGUCAAAUCAUCAUGCCCCUUAUGACUUGGGCUACACACGUGCUACAAUGGAUGGUACAACGAGCAGCGAACUCGCGAGGGUAAGCGAAUCUCUUAAAGCCAUUCUCAGUUCGGAUUGUAGGCUGCAACUCGCCUACAUGAAGUCGGAAUCGCUAGUAAUCGCGGAUCAGCACGCCGCGGUGAAUACGUUCCCGGGUCUUGUACACACC
rnacentral:rRNA from 1 species